GAUGAACGCUGGCGGCGCGCCUAACACAUGCAAGUCGAACGGCACCUGCCCUCGGGCAGAAGCGAGUGGCGAACGGCUGAGUAACACGUGGAGAACCUGCCCCCUCCCCCGGGAUAGCCGCCCGAAAGGACGGGUAAUACCGGAUACCCCCGGGCGCCGCAUGGCGCCCGGGCUAAAGCCCCGACGGGAGGGGAUGGCUCCGCGGCCCAUCAGGUAGACGGCGGGGUGACGGCCCACCGUGCCGACAACGGGUAGCCGGGUUGAGAGACCGACCGGCCAGAUUGGGACUGAGACACGGCCCAGACUCCUACGGGAGGCAGCAGUGGGGAAUCUUGCGCAAUGGGGGGAACCCUGACGCAGCGACGCCGCGUGCGGGACGGAGGCCUUCGGGUCGUAAACCGCUUUCAGCAGGGAAGAGUCAAGACUGUACCUGCAGAAGAAGCCCCGGCUAACUACGUGCCAGCAGCCGCGGUAAUACGUAGGGGGCGAGCGUUAUCCGGAUUCAUUGGGCGUAAAGCGCGCGUAGGCGGCCCGGCAGGCCGGGGUCCAAAAGCGGGGGGCUCAACCCCCCGAAGCCCCCGGAACCUCCGCGGCUUGGGUCCGGUAGGGGAGGGUGGAACACCCGGUGUAGCGGUGGAAUGCGCAGAUAUCGGGUGGAACACCGGUGGCGAAGGCGGCCCUCUGGGCCGAGACCGACGCUGAGGCGCGAAAGCUGGGGGAGCGAACAGGAUUAGAUACCCUGGUAGUCCCAGCCGUAAACGAUGGACGCUAGGUGUGGGGGGACGAUCCCCCCCGUGCCGCAGCCAACGCAUUAAGCGUCCCGCCUGGGGAGUACGGCCGCAAGGCUAAAACUCAAAGGAAUUGACGGGGGCCCGCACAAGCAGCGGAGCAUGUGGCUUAAUUCGAAGCAACGCGAAGAACCUUACCAGGGCUUGACAUAUGGGUGAAGCGGGGGAGACCCCGUGGCCGAGAGGAGCCCAUACAGGUGGUGCAUGGCCGUCGUCAGCUCGUGUCGUGAGAUGUUGGGUUAAGUCCCGCAACGAGCGCAACCCCCGCCGCGUGUUGCCAUCGGGUGAUGCCGGGAACCCACGCGGGACCGCCGCCGUCAAGGCGGAGGAGGGCGGGGACGACGUCAAGUCAUCAUGCCCCUUAUGCCCUGGGCUGCACACGUGCUACAAUGGCCGGUACAGAGGGAUGCCACCCCGCGAGGGGGAGCGGAUCCCGGAAAGCCGGCCCCAGUUCGGAUUGGGGGCUGCAACCCGCCCCCAUGAAGUCGGAGUUGCUAGUAAUCGCGGAUCAGCAUGCCGCGGUGAAAUGCGUUCCCGGGCCU
rnacentral:rRNA from 1 species